rnacentral:rRNA from 1 species
AUGCUCACUCGGGAGGAAAUGACGUCUGGGACGCGUGAUGCGGAGGGCGACGCGUCUGGGACGCGCGAGGCGAAGGGAGACGCAGCGAGCGCCGCGGCGGAGGUGGCCGGCUGGACGGUGGUGCGGCCUGCCGCGGGGCGGCCGCGGAGGGGCGCGCUGCCAGAGGGGCGGCCCCCUGCUCCGUCCUUCUCCGGCAGCCGGUUCUGGGCGCUAGAGGGGUUUGACUCCGACAUCGACGCCGAUGAGGUAGGUUCUCAGGUGAGUUUAGGUAGUUCCGGUGGUUCGCCGAGGCCCAAGGAUGGGUGCUCGGUGGGCGAUUUCAUCGCCCGUGCGGAGGAGCUUGGGGGCUCCUUCAUGGCUGGUCGGCGGCGUGCUUUUGCUCCCGGAGGGAAGGGAGGCCGCCGCCUGGCAGCGCGGAUCUGGUGCCCGCCAAAGGGGGUGGAUGCGGGCCCAGAAGGCCGCUCGUGCGCCAUUCCGGUGGCGGUCCGCCGAGAUCUGGCGCUGGCGGAGCCCCCUCGGGCCCUUUCGUGCCUGCCGGAGCCGGCCGGGGCUGGCGACGGCGGCGGCGGGGCUGGCCGGGCAGGGGCUGCACGGAACCUGGCUAGGGUUUCCGGGGCACCGACGGCUGGGCCUGUUCCGGUGUUGGGCCAAAGUGACUAG